GCCUAAAAGACAGUUCAGGUGCAUUUUAGGCUUAAAACAUUGAUAAUCUAGAAUUCCUUGAACAAAAGUGAAGAUUUCUCUGGAUUUACAGGGAAUUUAAGAACAAGAGUAGUAAAGGUUAACAUUUUCAAAUAGUUGAAAAAUAAAAUAAAAUUUGGUGUUGUACAAAGAAAUAUAACAUGAUAGAAACAAGUGUUUUCUUAACUAAACCUGCACACUUCUAUCAUUCGUAUCCUAAGGUGCGUGCCUUUUAACUUCUUCACAACAUGGGCUGUAAUUAUCUAAUCAAGAAGCCUCAUUUGCAGGUGUGACUGCUUAGUCAUCCAAAAAAAAAAAAUCUAAUUUUCUUCACAGCUAGUUUGUUUUGUCCCAUAUUUCUCAACUGAAAACAGGGGGUUUGUUAAUGCUAAAAAAAAAUGAAGUAUGAGAUCCGACCGUAUCAACUACGACAAAGUAUUCGAUGUCCCCAAAAGUACGGGAGGACCGUCACGAUGAGGAACCACGCGAUGGCUCAAACUUCCGAUCUGGACCUCAUGUUUGAGCCAAGAGAAACGGAUCCCGGCAAGCCGAUAGAUGACAGAUACGUCAAAAAUGCAGCUUUAAUCCCUGAUCUGCCACCGAGAAGGGAAAUAAUCAGGACAGAGGAGAGGACGCCUGGUGGCGAUCUGAGGAUUCACGGCUUUACAGCACCAGAUUACCAGCAGGUGUAUCACACAGUGGUGGAUCCCCUCCUCACACCUGAUGGAAAACUCACACCCUAUAGUCUGGAGUUAGGACUUACCAUUAAAGAACAGCUAUUUCAAGAGCUGGCCUAUCCCUGCCUUCAAACAUCACAUGGUUCAGAUGGAAAGGUGGAGGUGACUGAGAGCUUUUGUUUGCUCCGCCCUACACCUCACUUUAAUCUGGACUGUAAAGGGGAACCAUACUAAAAUUCUUCCAAUUUUUUGUACAGUAUAAGUGCAUUUUUUUCUAAUUUGUUCUCUUUAAUAUUGAUUGUAUUUGGUGUGCUUUUCUUUUUUUUAACUUAAGUGUGUCAAGAGUGAAAUAUUGGAGUUGAGGAAGUGAUUUCCUUUUUAAUGACUAACACAAAAGUGGAAGCUCCACAAACAGAUAUACUUUAUUCAUUUGUUAGUGAGCUUCAACUUUAGAAAUGUUCUGUGCUGAAUACUUGCUACAAGAACCCUUGAAAAAGAGUAAAUGCUGCUUCAGACAAACCA